rnacentral:ncRNA from 1 species
AAGUUGGGGUGUGGGCCCUAACACAGAAAAUUCAUUUUAUUGAAUUUUACAUUUAUGUGCAAGUUGGGCAAAGUGUCUUAUUUUUUUAAAGUAUUUCAAAGUAAAAUUACAUGUUAAUACGUAGUAUUAAUGGCGAGACUCCUGAGGGAGCAGUGCCAGUCGAAGACCAAGGCUGAGACGGCACCCUAGGAAAGCGAAGCCAUUCAAUACGAAGUAUUGUAUAAAUAGAGAACAGCAG